GGGAUGAUAGCUCAGCUGGUAGAGCAUCUGACUGAAAAUCAGAGUGUCGCUGGUUCAAUUCCAGCUCUUCCCACCA
rnacentral:tRNA from 1 species